AAGAAUUGAUCAUUAGAAAAUAGUAAAGAACGUAUUAUCUUUUACAAAUAUUUAUAAAAGAUGGUGAACCCGAACCAUACACAAAUAUACGAACAUAUAUACGGAUGUUGUAUAUAUUAAAAGAGAAAAGAAGGAAGAGUAUGUGAGUGGAAAAUGAGAAAAACAUUUAGAGGUGCGGAAGGGCAGAGCAGAGCAGAGCAGCGCAGCGCAGAAGAAGGGGCGGCGGCAUGAUCGAGGAAGAAGGAGCUGUCAAUAUAUUGAAAAAUGUGCACAAAUUCAAAGCUUUGUGUUUGACAUUUUGCUUACUUCUUCUCCUUAUACUCUUUUCAUUUUUCUUUUCACCAUUUUCUUCUUGAUCUUUUAUGCAUGUGACUUCAUUCUACACUUAUUAUUAUUAUUAUUAUUUACCAUUUUCAAUUCCAAAAAUAUCAAAUAUCAAAUAUCAAAAGUGGGUUAACUUUCCAACAUGCCUUGCCAAUGCUACCUAAUGUCCUCAACUUUACUUUUAAUUGGGUCUACUCUCUAUAUCUUACCUACACACUUUUUUCUUUUUACAUCAUUUUGUCAUAUUUUAAGCAUUAUGUUGUUUUUAGAUUAGUGAGUGUUCUAAAUAUGGUUCAAUGCUAUUGUUUAUUAUAUUUAUGGUAGACAUAACUAUAGGUUAGUAGUCAUUUUGGUAGAUUUUGAAUAUCAUCUAUCUAUGCAUCUCUUCUCACUGCUCACAUAAAAAAUAUUGAAAUACUCUAGAAAAAAAAAAGUAAAAUUUAUCAUAUGACAAAUUACCAGACAGUUUGGUAUGAUGAAUCGACAUAUGUGAUGUUCAGAAUAUACUUACAUUUUUUUUUUAUUUUGGUAUAUGAGUUUUAGGUUCAAAUUCUCAUUUGUUAUACUAAAAAUGUUACACUAUAGUAAAGAAGGAGGGAAAUAAAAUAAUAAAAGGUAAAAAACUAAUUUAAAACAAUGGUUUUAGAAGUUUAACUAAGGUAUGUGAAUUUAUUUAAACUUAUGAAACUAUUUUCGGUCAAAUUUGAAUUAAGUCAACAUUUACCCAUUCGUAAUAAAAAAAAAUAGUUUGAUUGUACUGUCUUAAUGAGCCACAAUCUCUAACAAAGUCACGUCACUUUCUAUCUAUUUAUUUAUAAUUAUUAAUGUCACAUUUACGGUUAAUAUUUAGGAUCAAAAUGGUAUCGAUAAAAAUAAAUAUAAAAGAUUCAUAUUUCUCAUAUUGUAGUUGCACCCAUGACUAUUUUAACUGGUGGAUCUUAUAUAAAUUCAAAACAUAAUUAAAUUGAUUACGACAAACUUGAGAUUAUGAAACACAUGAACAGCAAAAAUAAGGUAACGAUGUAAAUCAAAAUUUCAUAUUACAUUUAAUUUACUAUUUUGUUUUUGAGUAGGCUAAAGGUGACCUAAGUUCUAAAAACAUGGAAUUAUAAUUUGGUCCCAAUAGUUAAAAAGAAAAAAAAGAAGUUUGUAUAUGGUCCCUAAAACCUAGUCAAAGUUGAUAGGUCAAACCUAUAAUCAUGAUAUUAAAUGCGAAAACCCAUUCUCGAUUGGCGUGACAAUGAACUAUGCCUAUCAUUCCAAGGCAUAAUCCAAUCUGAAAAAAGGGAGAAACGUGUGGGUUUUAGGUUUAGGGUGUGUAAAAAUAUAUGUGUAUGGUUUGUGAGGGUUAAGUAGGGAGUAGAUUACAAGGUAUACAUUGAAAUUAAUCAAAACAUCUGAAGAUGCCAUAUUACAAUAGUUUAAAUAUACUAAUUUAAUCUUUUCAUAUUUUUGCAUACACAACAUAGUAUAGAUGAUUGUUUUAAUUUUAAAUUUUCAUCACUUUCCCUUAUGAAACUAUUUCUUGUUCUAUUAUUGAUCUAAACAAAUCCAUUUGUUUAGGUUACAGAUUUGAACAUUAAUUUGAAAAGACCAAUAUUGCCCAAAAACAAUAGAUUUUAAAAUUGGAUGAAAUAUUCCUUUUAUAAAAUUGAAAUGUCAAUUUAUAUCAAAGUUUCUAUUACAUUUACAUAAACUAUUCAACAAUUAAAUGUAAGUUUGGGAGUGAAUUAGGAGGAAAGCCACUUUUUUCCAUAGAGUAUUAUUUUCUUUUUCUUUUUCAUAAUUGAUGUUCCACAAAGGUUGAAAUUUAUCUUUAAAAAGAAAUGGAAACUCAAUUAGACUUGACUUUUCAACAAGCAGAUGGAAUGUGAUUUAGUGAGAUGGUUGACCAAGAAGUGUCCUAAAUUUAGCCCCAUAAAUUGAAAUCACCUUUUCUUUUAUAUGCAUAUCUUCUUUUUUAAAAACAUAUACACUGGAAACUAGGAGGAUUAACAUAUUCAAAGCUUGGGUGUGAGACACAUGUGUGUGUGUGUGUGUAUAUAUUGAAAGUCAUAUCCUGGUAGAUUAAAGUAUGUAGGAAUGAUUAGGGGAUGGAUGAAAGUACGGGGACCAAACAUAUUUUUGAAUUUAUGUAAUAAUUAGGCCUUUGAAAAAAUAAAAAGGAGAAUAGAAGAAGGAGAAUGACAAAUCAGAAGAAGAGUAGGGAUAGAGAUUUUGGUUUUGGCGUGAAAAAAGUGGAAACCUUUCCUUUUUCUUUUUUUUUUCUUUCUUUCUAUUUUUUUUUUUAAUUGCCCAAACAGCAAACCUCUGACGCUGUCGCCGACGUUUCUAUGAAAAAUCCAACACGUGAGACUUUCGGAUAGGUACCUCACGUUUCUUUUCUUUGCAAAUUGGCCCCUCUUCCAUAUCCUAUCAUUGUGUUUCUUUUUACUUUCUCCUCCCCUCCUCCCUCAUCUCUUCCAAUUUUCACGUCUUAAUAAAUAUAUAUAUAAUUAAAAGGAAAAUCAAUUUUCCUUUUGUAUGUUUAAAUUUUUUAAGUCUAAUUGCCUUUAUUUAAAUAUUUUACAAAUUUACUUAAAUCUCUUCAAUUUGUUACAUCACGUUUUAACGAUUCACAUACUUUAUAGUUCUAAUGGUAUAUUUGAAUUUGUCAUAUCAUGCUUUCUCUUUUAACAAUCAACAAUUUUCUCUUUUAGGCUGUGGAUGAAGGUAACGAUAUAUUGUUAGUGAUGAAUCUCUACGUUGAUUCUGUAUUAUUUAUGGUUUUGGUUUUGUUUAUAUAUUUGAUUGUUGAUUCCUUUCCAUGGUUGGAGAUUUAUAAAUAUUUUUCAUUUGAUUGUGUUUGUUUAAUAUUGGCUAAAACCCAUCAACAAAUAACUAAGUUUUCCUUUUUCUUGAAACCCACUAAGUUUUUUCUUUGUAAAAUAGAAAUUACUUGUAUAAAUGAGAAAUUGCCACCGCAUCCAUUCAAUUCAAACAUUUCUCUCUAGUAUUAAGUUAACUUUUGUGUUUGAACAAGUUUCGUACAUUUGUGAAAAUCAUGAACUAAUUAUUGUAAAAUGAAGUAUUAACUGAAUUUAACGUAUAAAUUGAUUUAGGUUGGAAUUUUUGUUUUAAAACUCAUCGUUUGUAAUCAUAUUCUAUUCAAUAAAGUCGUUAUUGAUAAAUUUAAUACUAUAAUCUUAAACAAUAAACUAAGGGUCCAAUGCUAUUUUGAGUAAAAAAACUUUAUGUAAAGGCAUAAACAUGGACCAAACUCGAGUAUAUAACCUAAAUAAUCUACAAUAUACAAAUAGGGUUGGACACCUUAUUUUGAGGACACUAUGGAUGUAGUAUGUUUUGU
rnacentral:lncRNA from 1 species